GCCCCAGAAUGGUUACAUUCUUGGAGAAGAAUUUGAAUCCUCAGGACUAAGAAAAUAAAAUCAGGCCCAGGUUGUUGUGUUCUUGAAGUCAUUCUUUGGUUUAUUUGGCAUAAUGAAAUCUAUAACGUCUCGUCUUUAAAUAAGUAACUUCACUGAAACCCUUGUCAGCUUUAAUAGGAUUCAGGUCAGAAGAUUUUGAGCAAAAACAGUGCAAGCUACAGACAUGUGUGCAUUUUGCUAAAAGGACAGCCUCCUCUAUUUUGGAAGAUUUUUCUGUCUGAUGGAGUUGUCUGCUCAUAAGGAUCCUUGAGGAGAGAAUGUUGGAGAAAAGGAGGAUUGUUCAGCCUGGAGUUUCCAUCAUAUGGACGUGCAUAUUGAAGCCAUGUGUCCCAUCUUACUGUCUGAACAUCCCAACAAAGCUAAGAGCAGCCACUUCACCAUUAAUCAGCAAUCAGAUGAAGAGCUGACUUCGGAAGAGAACUUCUCUUGCUACUGUGGCCUGCCCCACACUCUGGCACACUGAAGGACAGGUGGGCAGGAAUCGGUUGGCCUGUUCAAAACAGCAAAUGAUGCAAGUGGCAGGACACGUCUUGCUUUGCCUUUGACUUGCAUCACGGUGUGUCUUUUCUCCACUGUGUUUUUUUUUUUUUUCCUGUGCGGAUCAAAGUCUCAGGAGUAAUUACCCCUCAGUAAGCUCAGUAGUGCCCUUUGUACAGGUGGGGUCCUCGUCAUUUGAGCCAGAGGAUGGUUAACGUGUACAUAUAACAUUACACAGA